rnacentral:rRNA from 1 species
AACGAACGCUGGCGGCAUGCCUAACACAUGCAAGUCGAACGAGCCCUUCGGGGUGAGUGGCGCACGGGUGCGUAACGCGUGGGAAUCUGCCCUUGGGUUCGGAAUAACAGUGAGAAAUUACUGCUAAUACCGGAUGAUGUCUUCGGACCAAAGAUUUAUCGCCCAAGGAUGAGCCCGCGUAGGAUUAGCUAGUUGGUGGGGUAAUGGCCUACCAAGGCGACGAUCCUUAGCUGGUCUGAGAGGAUGAUCAGCCACACUGGGACUGAGACACGGCCCAGACUCCUACGGGAGGCAGCAGUGGGGAAUAUUGGACAAUGGGCGAGAGCCUGAUCCAGCAAUGCCGCGUGAGUGAUGAAGGCCUUAGGGUUGUAAAGCUCUUUUACCCGGGAUGAUAAUGACAGUACCGGGAGAAUAAGCCCCGGCUAACUCCGUG